rnacentral:snRNA from 1 species
GAACCCAAAACAGUAAGAGUUCCC